rnacentral:rRNA from 1 species
UGAGGAAUUUUCCGCAAUGGGCGCAAGCCUGACGGAGCGACGCCGCGUGAGGGAUGAAGGCCUUCGGGUCGUAAACCUCUUUUGUGGGGGAAAAAGGCGCAAGCUUGAUGGUACUCCACGAAUAAGCCCCGGCUAACUACGUGCCAGCAGCCGCGGUAAUACGUAGGGGGCGAGCGUUGUCCGGAAUUACUGGGCGUAAAGGGCGUGUAGGCGGUUGGAAAAGUCUGGUGUGAAAUACUUGAGCUUAACUUGAGUGCUGCGCUGGAUACUUUCUGACUGGAGUUCGGAAGGGGCAACUGGAAUUCCCGGUGUAACGGUGAAAUGUGUAGAUAUCGGGAGGAACACCUGUGGCGAAGGCGGGUUGCUGGUCCGAUACUGACGCUGAGACGCGAAAGCGUGGGGAGCAAACAGG